GCCCUCCGCAACGCUGGCGCCGUGCUGAUGACGUAAUGGGUCGGGGGCCCCCCGACGGGGCGGGGCCAUUGGUGUGCACCACCUGAUUCGAGCGGCGUUCGGGUUCUCCCUCUCCGCUCCCGGCGCCGGCCAGCAGGUUCAUCCCGCCGGUAACGGCCCGCGCGAAGGAGCCGGGAGUUUGGGCUCGUGAUGAGCAAGAGGAAACAGAGGUCCCCGGCAGGUCCAGAGGUAAGAGAACAGAGUUGUGUGUAAUAACAGCAAUAGUAGUUGUAUAUUCGGAGGGUUAACUUUACGUAAAGCUCUUUUUCUCCAUCAGUUUCUUUCUUCUUUACGAAGUAAGCAUUUGACGCUGCGAGGUAAGUAUGUUCUUAUCCCCCGUUUGCAGACCAGGUAACUAAGUCUCAGAGAACCGAACUCACUGGCCACAGCUGAGACGUGGUCAGGUCAGAAUUGGACGCCAAGUUUGUGCUCCUUCCGCUACACCAGCAACCUACCGGAGGACCUUGUAGGAGCUUUUGGCUGAUCACCGCUUGGUGGUUCUUCAUUCGUUCACUUAGAUACUGAGCGGCAUCUGUACCAGGCCUACUCAACACUUGGGAAGCAAUAGGAUCAAGAGCCCGGCCUUGCUCAGUGGAUCUCACUUUCAGGAGAGCUAAGCAGCAAAUGAACAGGGGACAGCACUGAGUUUGUAGAUGCUAAGAAGAAAGUGAACAGGAUGCUGAGAUUUUAAACUGAAGAGUGGUGUGAUCAAAGUUAUGUUUUGAAAGAUCACUCUGCUAGAUAGAGAACUAUGGGCAAGCAAGAGUGGAGACAUGGAGAGCUAUUAAGAGGUGAUUGGAACGAUCCAGAUGAGAGAUUGUUUGAUGCUCGAACUAAGGAGGUAACAGCAAAGAUCAGGUAGAUGGAUUUACGGUAUGUUUUGGGAGUACAGUUGCCGGUAUUUCCUGAAGGAUUCAACGUAGAAAGUAAGAAUAAGAAAUGAAUCAAGAAUAACUUCCAGGAGUCUGUCUUCAGCAACCGGAUGGAUGAUGGUGCCAUUCAGUGAAUGAAAGGUUUGAUGAGGCUGAGGGUGGGGAAUCCACAGGUUUUGUUUCUGUCGGGGUUAAUUUGAGGGUUUUGUGCGCUAUCCCAGAGGAUAAGUCAAGUUGUGGUGCAGACCUGGUUGUCAUCUUUAUUGGCCAUAUGCCUACAGUGCAUUCCUCAGCCCCCUAAAGUAGGUGUGGCCACGUGCCUGUGCUCUCCCCAACGGAAAGUGUACAGAAGAGACGUGCCCAGUUUCCAGGCUUGGCCCAGAAAAUUCGCCAACAGGUGCUCUUACUUACCCUGCCAGCUGGACGAUUCUGGUUCUGGACAAGGCACAGCCUCAAGAUGGAAGAUUCCUAAGUGGAGAACAUUUGCCCCCGUUGACCUAUAUGUCCACCCAGGACUGUUCUAUGAGAAACAGAAAUAAACCUUUAUUGUUUUGA